AUGGCCUCCAUCUCCGAGCUUGCCUGUGUCUACUUGGCCCUCAUUCUGCACGAUGACGAGGUGAUCAUCAUGGAGGUUAAUAUCAAUACCCUCAUUAAAGCAGCCAGUGUAAAUGUUGAACCUUUUGGCCUGGCUUGUUUGGAAAGGCCCUGGCCAACGUCAACAUUGGAAGCCUCAUCUGCAAUGUAGGGGCUGGUGGACCUGCUCUAGCAGCUGGUGCUGCACCAGCAGGAGGUCCUGCCCCCUCCAUUGCUGCUGCUUCAGCUGAGGAGAAGAAAAUGGAAGCAAAGAAAGAAGAAUCUGAGGAGUCUGAUGAUGACAUGGGCUUUGGUCUUUUUACUAA
rnacentral:lncRNA from 1 species